GAUGAACGCUGGCGGCGUGCCUAAUACAUGCAAGUCGAGCGAACGGACGAGAAGCUUGCUUCUCUGAUGUUAGCGGCGGACGGGUGAGUAACACGUGGAUAGCCUACCUAUAAGACUGGGAUAACUUCGGGAAACCGUAGCUAAUACCGGAUAAUAUUUUGAACCGCAUGGUUCAAAAGUGAAAGACGGUCUUGCUGUCACUUAUAGAUGGAUCCGCGCUGCAUUAGCUAGUUGGUGAGGUAACGGCUUACCAAGGCAACGAUGCAUAGCCGACCUGAGAGGGUGAUCGGCCACACUGGAACUGAGACACGGUCCAGACUCCUACGGGAGGCAGCAGUAGGGAAUCUUCCGCAAUGGGCGAAAGCCUGACGGAGCAACGCCGCGUGAGUGAUGAAGGUCUUCGGAUCGUAAAACUCUGUUAUUAGGGAAGAACAUAUGUGUAAGUAACUGUGCACAUCUUGACGGUACCUAAUCAGAAAGCCACGGCUAACUACGUG
rnacentral:rRNA from 1 species